UCCGUCAUCAAUAACGAUUAUUCCAAAUUAAAUUUCUUUAAUUAAAGAUAUUGAUCUCAUCCGAAUGAGACCUUGUACCAUAACUUUUAAAAUUUGCUUUAAUAACAAUUAUAAUGCCUCUAUAUAAUUAGGACGAUGAGGGAAUAAAAUCAUCGUGAUACAAUCAAUUUCAUCUAAACAUCAUACUUUGUUAGUGACAGCAGGUGUCCUCUUAUAGCCGAGAGUAUAUAUGAACGCAGGUAACAAAUUGAUUUUGGAUGUAAGUAUCGAAGAAUAAGGUAGCGUGUUUGCUUUAUUACAUGUAGUAAAAAUUGGUUUACUCUUUUAUAUUAACUUUACUGCAAUAACGUUGUCGUAUUAAUACGAUUAUUUUAAGUACAUAAAAUGACAAAUAUUGCACCACAGCGAAAAGAUUAAAAAUGACAGCGAUAUAACCUCCAAUCUACAAUACGACGUAAUUCAUAUUUCAGGAAAAUAAAGAGGAAAAGAGAAUCGAACUUUUUUGCACGUUAUGCUGAUACUGAGUUUUUAGGUUAUGUCGAAGCGAGAUUAACGUUAGCUAUCACGCGAGCUUCUGUAUAAGGUGAUUAAUUACAGUAAAUCCUGCGAAGUACGCUAUUUCUUUAGGAAAUUGCAAACCAAGAUAGAAAUAGGCAGAGGCAAAGGAAUGCGAAAUUCCUUGAAGGAAGUCGUUGUAACACGAAUCGUGUGUAUUCUGCGUAAAAGUAGAUUUUACUCAAUGCACAUGCCGGGCAAAAGAGACGGGCAAAGAACUGGAAUGCUCAGAAUGUUAAUCGUUUAAUGGGAUAUAAUCGGUUAAUGGGAGUCUGCAUUCAACCGAAGCCUUCCAUACAAGCCGGAUGAUCGCGUUUCGACCCCUCGUGCGACUUCAUUUUUCAUCACGACGAUAAAGAUUAGCUUGUCGUUAAAGGUUCAAGGGCAACGUUGCGCGGACCUUUCGGGUGAAAUCCGUCAAACCGAAGGUGGUAGAGUCGUCAGACUGUCAGACUUAUGAUGACUUUUAUCGACAAUAUUUAUACACCCUGUACAUUAGAAAAACGACUUUGUAGACCUUUGUAUUUUCGCGGCGAUCAACUUCAACGCUUCGAUAACGGGAGAGAAAAAAAGAAAGGAACGAAUUAAAAAUAAUUGAAAGAAAGAAAGAAGAAGGAGGAAGGCAAAGUUCACGGUUCGAGUGAUCGACGAGUUUCACCGUUCCGCUUUGUGUUCCCAUCCACUUCCGGGCUUUCAGAGGACGGGGAAAACAGAGCAGGAAGAUCUGUCUUCGUAUCAAGAUUUAAAAUUCCGUCUGGCGCUUUACAAGAAGACAGUCAAUACGAAGGUAUUACAGGGAACAGAGGGAGAUAUAGGAAAAAGAAUAAUGGAGUAUGCACAGGGGAUCUACCGGUAGUUUUCUAUUUCUUUCCUCGUUGAAACGUUCCUCCUACAGUAUCGUUGAGGAACGGUAUCGGUUCUAACUAUUCUUCACUGAUCCAUCGAGCCUCUACAGAAAUACAGCACAAUUUCAAACGGGGAAUUAUUUGCUCGUACCGAUCAUGGACAAAAUAUAAACAGUAUCAAAUUUGAAUGCGAGCUUCAGUUUCGUUUUCCAAGACGGAGCGCGAAUUUUUCUUUAAAGAAGAAUUAAUAAAUCAAAUCGAUAGAGAGCUGGAGCAAUAAACGAAGUUCUUCGUGAUCAUUCAGGUUCGUAAUUGGCUCCUCGUGCUAUGGCGAGAACUAUUUCCGGGCCACUUGAUUUUCGCGUGUAUAUCACGGACACUUGAAGGGAAAAGUUUGCUUCAAGGUAACUGGAGCAGGGAAUGAAACAUGGAUGAACCACGUGUGAAUUUCUCAAUUAACAAUUACAUAUUAUAACUUAGUAAGAGACUUCUAUCAACGUCUGUCCCCAGAUAGAUUUACGACAAGAUUCAGAAUCAGACACACAAAAAUCACACACGAAUUCCUCCUAAAAAAAAGACAGAAUCUCCAAUUUGCAGCUUAUGCAAUCAGAUAAUAACCAUCAUAUACCUGCAAUAUGAAUGUAACAUGUAAAGAAUAACAUGUAUAAUAAAUAAAAAAUACAAUCGUACUUGUAA